rnacentral:rRNA from 1 species
AACGAACGCUGGCGGCAUGCCUAACACAUGCAAGUCGAACGAGACCUUCGGGUCUAGUGGCGCACGGGUGCGUAACGCGUGGGAAUCUGCCCUUGGGUACGGAAUAACAGCGAGAAAUUGCUGCUAAUACCGUAUAAUGACGUAAGUCCAAAGAUUUAUCGCCCAGGGAUGAGCCCGCGUAGGAUUAGCUUGUUGGUGAGGUAAAAGCUCACCAAGGCGACGAUCCUUAGCNGGUCUGAGAGGAUGAUCAGCCACACUGGGACUGAGACACGGCCCAGACUCCUACGGGAGGCAGCAGGUGGGGAAUAUUGGACAAUGGGCGAAAGCCUGAAUCCAGCAAUGCCGCGUGAGUGAUGAAGGCC